rnacentral:tRNA from 1 species
AGAGAAUUAGUUUAAUAACUAAAACAUUAACUUGUCAAGUUAAAAAUAUAAUAUAUAUAUAUUCUCUU